ACCCACUUUGUUGCAUGCG
rnacentral:siRNA from 1 species